CCUACGGGUGGCUGCAGUGGGGAAUUUUGCGCAAUGGGGGAAACCCUGACGCAGCAACGCCGCGUGAGUGAUGAAGGCUUUCGGGUCGUAAAGCUCUGUCUAGAGGGAAGAAAUGAUAUUUGGUUAAUACCCGGAUUUCUUGACGGUACCUCUGAAGGAAGCACCGGCUAACUCCGUGCCAGCAGCCGCGGUAAUACGGAGGGUGCAAGCGUUGUUCGGAUUUAUUUGGCCUAAUUCGCAUGUAGGCGGUGAAAGCCCUGGGCUCAACCUGGGAAGUGCAUUGGAAACUGGCAGACUUGAAUACGGGAGAGGGUAGUGGAAUUCCUAGUGUAGGAGUGAAAUCCGUAGAUAUUAGGAGGAACACCGGUGGCGAAGGCGGCUACCUGGACCGAUAUUGACGCUGAGACGCGAAAGCGUGGGGAGCAAACAGGAUUAGAUACCCCGGUAGUC
rnacentral:rRNA from 1 species